AACGAACGCUGGCGGCAUGCCUAACACAUGCAAGUCGAACGAGACCUUCGGGUCUAGUGGCGCACGGGUGCGUAACGCGUGGGAACCUGCCCUUAGGUUCGGAAUAACUCCCGGAAAGGGGUGCUAAUACCGGAUAAUGUCUUCGGACCAAAGAUUUAUCGCCUUUGGAUGGGCCCGCGUUGGAUUAGCUAGUUGGUAGGGUAAAAGCCUACCAAGGCGACGAUCCAUAGCUGGUCUGAGAGGAUGAUCAGCCACACUGGGACUGAGACACGGCCCAGACUCCUACGGGAGGCAGCAGUGGGGAAUAUUGGACAAGGGGCGAAAGCCUGAUCCAGCAAUGCCGCGUGAGUGAUGAAGGCCUUAGGGUUGUAAAGCUCUUUUACCCGGGAUGAUAAUGACAGUACCGGGAGAAUAAGCUCCGGCUAACUCCGUG
rnacentral:rRNA from 1 species